GAUGAACGCUGGCGGCGUGCCUAAUACAUGCAAGUCGAGCGAACAGACGAGGAGCUUGCUCCUCUGACGUUAGCGGCGGACGGGUGAGUAACACGUGGAUAACCUACCUAUAAGACUGGGAUAACUUCGUGAAACCGGAUCUAAUACCGGAUAAUAUAUUGAACCGCAUGGUUCAAUAGUUAUAGACGGUUUUUCUGUCACUUAUAGAUGGAUCCGCGCCGCAUUAGCUAGUUGGUAAGGUAACGGCUUACCAAGGCAACGAUGCGUAUCCGACCUGAGAGGGUGAUCGGCCACACUGGAACUGAGACACGGUCCAGACUCCUACGGGAGGCAGCAGUAGGGAAUAUUCCGCAAUGGGCGAAAGCAUGACGGAGCAACGCCGCGUGAGUGAUGAAGGUCUUAGGAUCGUAAAACUCUGUUAUUAGGGAAGAACAAAUGUGUAAGUAACUAUGCACGUCUUGACGGUAACUAAUCAGAAAGCCACGGCUAACUACGUG
rnacentral:rRNA from 1 species